UGCAAUUUGCAAAACAAUGAACCGUUGUUCCGCCGCCACCACCUGGUGAGGAGCGGGGACUGCGUCACGUUCGGUUCCCUAACCUGAGGACACGUCGACCCGGUUCUCAAAAAAACCAAAGGGGCCACUUCUGAACCGUCCUGGUGGAGGAGGACUUCAGGGUCAGUGCCAUUCUCCAAUCCGUCCACCAGGGGGCUCCUGAGUAUUUAGCUGACCUUUGAACCUUCCUGCUGCUGCUGCUGUGGACUCACCUCUGCUCGGAGCCAGAGGGUUCAGAGGUCGAUACACUGAUCUGGGCCUGUUCAAACAGAAACACAUCGUCUCAGGUUUAACAAAUGAAAACAUGUUGUCAUUAUUUAUAUAUAAAGAACAUUUUCCCUUUAUUGUUAGUUUGGACCACACACAAAGAUGGACACCAUGACAGGUCCCAAAAGUAAAGACAAAACAUAUGAAUCGACCCUGGUGGCUGUGGGCAGUAUAUGUCAUAAGCCCCGCCCCUUCCGUGAUAGCGGUGUGUGUGUGUGUGUGUGUGUGUCUGAGUCUCACUUGAAGCAGUUUUCCUCAUAGAUGCUGUUCCAGACUCUCCAGGCUGAAGAACCUUUGUAUCCGGUGAAUCUCUCUGGGUUCAGCAGCAGAUCCACGUACUCGGCGUCCGGAGACGUUUCAUCUACGACACAAAUUAACUUAUUAUUAUUAUUAUUAUUAUCAUUAAUCUUCUGUCUCAAGGCCGUCGUGAGCCUCAAGUGGUUACAGAAGGUGAAACAAAACUCCUCCUCACCGUCCAGCUCACAGAAAUGAUCCUGAGCAUCGUCGUGUCUCGCCCAGUCAGCGAACGCCUCUUUGGUCUGGUUACUGGAGGAAGAAUCAAGACACGAGUCAGACCCGGUGACGAAUCUCACCUCAGGGUGCUGUUGAUGGCGCCGAGCUCUUUCGCCUGCUCACAGUCCGUCACGUCCGGCAGCGUGUUCGCCUGCUGGGAGAACUGAAGAGAGACACAACAACAAGUCAGUUUGUUUUCUUACUUCAAGCUCUGUGUGUUUGUUUUUCUCCUUAUUCAUAGUUAUCUAUAAUAAACUAUCUAAUGUAUGUGUACGUUUUGCCUUCGACUACACACACACACACUGCUGAGGUGGCACUCGACCUUGAUGGAGACGAGUGCGGAUCCAAACCACCAGACAAACAUCAGGCUGCGAGCCAACGGCUGACAAACACUCCGUCCUCCGCAUGGAAACUCUCACCUGAGAUAAGCCCAGUGUGUGUGUGUGUGUGUGUGUGCGUGAGUCAGCUGAUUAGACCGAAAGUGCUGGAACAAGUGCAGCUGGUCCUUGACUCCAUUAAACAGGUUACAGAAACUUGAUGUCCAGAGAUGAACUGAACAAACGUCAGUCUGGUUCACAGCCGGCUGCGUCUCACAUGAUAACUCAAGUCUGAUGAUGUUUUAUUACAGCAUUUAAAAACCAACAUUGAAUGCAUCGUGUGUGUGUGUGUGUGUCAACAGACUGAUUUUCUCCAUCGUUUCCAAAAACUAUUAUAAACAGGUGUUAAAAAAUGCUUUUAUUUUGUUUUUGCAGAUUUACGUCUUCAGUAGGAACCAAUGGGCUCGGAGGAGACUGACGAGGGAAGUCAGGAAGUGUUGAGAGACGGACAAACACAAUAGCUUUAAAUAAGUAACGAACAGGAGUGAGUGUGGUUGACCUCUGACCUCAGGACAAGGCUCCACAUGACAGUCUCUGAUGGAGCAGUGUCCGUCAUCAGGCCAGAAAGGACACGGUCGCUUCAAGUUCACCUGGAAGAAAGACA